UACGUAGGGGGCAAGCGUUGUCCGGAUUUAUUGGGCGUAAAGAGCGUGUAGGCGGUUUGGUAGGUCCGCUGUGAAAACUCGAGCUCAACCUCGAGACGCCGGUGGAAACCAUCAGACUAGAGUCCGGAAGAGGAGAGUGGAAUUCCUGGUGUAGCGGUGAAAUGCGCAGAUAUCAGGAGGAACACCUGCGGUGUAGACGGCUUUCUGGACCAUUGCUGACGCUGAGACACGAAAGCGUGGGUAGCAAACAGG
rnacentral:rRNA from 1 species